rnacentral:lncRNA from 1 species
AUUUAAUAUAAUAUUGUUUAAAUUUAUGCAUGUAUAACUAUAUAAAUGCCAUUUUCUAUCCUUAAAUUAUAGAAAUUGGUAUAUGACGAGAGAAUUUAUUUGCUUUGUAUUCUGAAAUAAUUUUGAUGUUGAGUGGAAAUAUGAAAUUUUAAUCAGUAUUUCCAAAGAAAACAAAUAGAAUUGUGUUGAGGCAAAUUCCCCCAAAGUUUGUGCUCAACGUUUUGUACAUAGGCACAAAAUUAUGAGUAAAAAUUAUGGAUUUUUUUCUUAAUAUGAACUGAAUAGAAAUAAUUCACUGUAAAUGCAGGGCACUGGAAUGAAUUUCCAAAAUAGUUGUUCAUUCCUUUAUUCAUUCUCUAAUGCGGUAAAUAUUUACUGAGUGCUUAUUAUAUGAAACUCUCAGAUUCUAAGGAACAAGAGGCACUCAAUAGAGAAGCAAUUCUUCUUUUUAUUGGUUUUAUGGUGAAAAUCUGAAUGUCUUAAAUGAAUAUUAAGUCAAAUAUAAAGAUACAGCUAAUCAGCCAGCAUGGUGGUGCACAUCUGUAGUCCCAGUUACUUGGGAGGGGCUGAGGUGGGACAAUCGCUUGAGCCCAGGAAGUUGAGGCUGCAGUCAGCCCUGAUCACACCACUGCACUCCAGCCUGUGACAAGAGUAAGCCCCUGUCUCCAAAAAAUAAAUAAUCAAAUCAAACCAAGCCAAAUCACAUAAAGAUGUAGCUAACAGGAAGAGCUUU